rnacentral:rRNA from 1 species
GAUGAACGCUAGUUACAGGCUUAACACAUGCAAGUCGAGGGGCAGCACAGGUAGCAAUACCGGGUGGCGACCGGCGCACGGGUGAGUAACGCGUAUGCAACUUGCCUAUCAGAGGGGGAUAACCCGGCGAAAGUCGGACUAAUACCGCAUGAAGCAGGGGCCCCGCAUGGGGAUAUUUGCUAAAGAUUCAUCGCUGAUAGAUAGGCAUGCGUUCCAUUAGGCAGUUGGCGGGGUAACGGCCCACCAAACCGACGAUGGAUAGGGGUUCUGAGAGGAAGGUCCCCCACAUUGGUACUGAGACACGGACCAAACUCCUACGGGAGGCAGCAGUGAGGAAUAUUGGUCAAUGGGCGUAAGCCUGAACCAGCCAAGUCGCGUGAGGGAUGAAGGUUCUAUGGAUCGUAAACCUCUUUUAUAAGGGAAUAAAGUGCGGGACGUGUCCCGUUUUGUAUGUACCUUAUGAAUAAGGAUCGGCUAACUCCGUGCCAGCAGCCGCGGUAAUACGGAGGAUCCGAGCGUUAUCCGGAUUUAUUGGGUUUAAAGGGUGCGUAGGCGGCCUUUUAAGUCAGCGGUGAAAGUCUGUGGCUCAACCAUAGAAUUGCCGUUGAAACUGGGGGGCUUGAGUAUGUUUGAGGCAGGCGGAAUGCGUGGUGUAGCGGUGAAAUGCAUAGAUAUCACGCAGAACCCCGAUUGCGAAGGCAGCCUGCCAAGCCAUUACUGACGCUGAUGCACGAAAGCGUGGGGAUCAAACAGGAUUAGAUACCCUGGUAGUCCACGCAGUAAACGAUGAUCACUAGCUGUUUGCGAUACACUGUAAGCGGCACAGCGAAAGCGUUAAGUGAUCCACCUGGGGAGUACGCCGGCAACGGUGAAACUCAAAGGAAUUGACGGGGGCCCGCACAAGCGGAGGAACAUGUGGUUUAAUUCGAUGAUACGCGAGGAACCUUACCCGGGUUUGAACGCAUUCGGACCGAGGUGGAAACACCUUUUCUAGCAAUAGCCGUUUGCGAGGUGCUGCAUGGUUGUCGUCAGCUCGUGCCGUGAGGUGUCGGCUUAAGUGCCAUAACGAGCGCAACCCUUGCCACUAGUUACUAACAGGUAAAGCUGAGGACUCUGGUGGGACUGCCAGCGUAAGCUGCGAGGAAGGCGGGGAUGACGUCAAAUCAGCACGGCCCUUACAUCCGGGGCGACACACGUGUUACAAUGGCGUGGACAAAGGGAAGCCACCUGGCGACAGGGAGCGAAUCCCCAAACCACGUCUCAGUUCGGAUCGGAGUCUGCAACCCGACUCCGUGAAGCCGGAUUCGCUAGUAAUCGCGCAUCAGCCAUGGCGCGGUGAAUACGUUCCCGGGCCUUGUACACACCGCCCGUCAAGCCAUGAAAGCCGGGGGUACCUGAAGUACGUAACCGCAAGGAGCGUCCUAGGGUAAAACUGGUAAUUGGGGCUAAGUCAUAA